rnacentral:rRNA from 1 species
UACGUAGGGGGCUAGCGUUGUCCGGAAUCAUUGGGCGUAAAGCGCGUGUAGGCGGCCCGGUAAGUCCGCUGUGAAAGUCGGGGGCUCAACCCUCGGAUGCCGGUGGAUACUGUCGGGCUCGAGUACGGAAGAGGCGAGUGGAAUUCCUGGUGUAGCGGUGAAAUGCGCAGAUAUCAGGAGGAACACCGGUGGCGAAGGCGGCUUUCUGGGCCUUACCUGACGCUGAGGAGCGAAAGCUGGGGGAGCAAACAGG